rnacentral:rRNA from 1 species
UACAGAGGGUGCGAGCGUUAAUCGGAAUUACUGGGCGUAAAGGGCGCGUAGGCGGUUGUGUGAGUGUGGUGUGAAAGCCCCGGGCUUAACCUGGGAAGUGCAUUGCAAACGACACAACUGGAGUAGAUGAGAGGGUGGCGGAAUUUCCGGUGUAGCGGUGAAAUGCGUAGAUAUCUGGAGGAAUACCGGUGGCGAAGGCGGCAUCCUGGACCGGCAUUGACGCUGAGGAGCGAAAGCCAGGGGAGCAAACGGG